rnacentral:rRNA from 1 species
AUUGAACGCUGGCGGCAGGCCUAACACAUGCAAGUCGAGCGAGCGGCGGACGGGUGAGUAAUGUAUGGGGACUGCCCGAUAGAGGGGGCUAACUACUGGAAACGGUGGCUAAUACCGCUUACUAUCGGAUAACCCAUAUGGGAGUAGCUAGUAGGUGGGGUAAAGGCUCACCUAGGCGACGAUCUCUAGCUGUUCUGAGGGGAUGAUCAGCCACAGUGGGACUGUGACGCGGACUAGACUCCGACGGAGGCAGCAUUGGAGAAUAUUGCACAGGGAGCGCAAGGCUGUUGCGGGCAAGGGGCGUGUAUGAAGAAGGCCUUAGGGGUGUAAAGUACUAUCAGCGGGGAGGCGUUACCCGCAGAAUAAGCACCGGCUAACUCCGUGCCAGCAGCCGCGGUAAUAC